rnacentral:rRNA from 1 species
UACGAAGGGGGCGAGCGUUGUUCGGAAUCACUGGGCGUAAAGGGCGCGUAGGCGGCCCUUCUUGUCGCGUGUGAAAGCCCCGGGCUCAACCUGGGAAUGGCGCGCGAGACGGGGGGGCUGGAGUUCGGGAGAGGAGCGUGGAAUUCCCAGUGUAGAGGUGAAAUUCGUAGAUAUCUGGAGGAACACCGGUGGCGAAGGCGGCAUCCUGGACCGGCAUUGACGCUGAGGAGCGAAAGCCAGGGGAGCAAACGGG